AUUGAACGCUGGCGGCGUGCCUAACACAUGCAAGUCGAGCGGUAACAGGUGUAGCAAUACAUGCUGACGAGCGGCGGACGGGUGAGUAACGCUUGGGAAUCUGCCUAUUAGUGGGGGACAACCCGGGGAAACUCGGGCUAAUACCGCAUACGCACUACGGUGGAAAGCCGGGGACCGCAAGGCCUGGCGCUAACAGAUGAGCCCAAGUCGGAUUAGCUAGUUGGUAGGGAACGGCCUACCAAGGCGACGAUCCGUAACUGGUCUGAGAGGACGACCAGUCACACCGGAACUGAGACACGGUCCGGACUCCUACGGGAGGCAGCAGUGGGGAAUAUUGGACAAUGGGCGAAAGCCUGAUCCAGCGACGCCGCGUGGGUGAAGAAGGCCUGCGGGUUGUAAAGCCCUUUCAGUGGGGAAGAAAAGCCUCGAGCUAACACCUCGGGUCUUGACGUAACCCAUAGAAGAAGCACCGGCUAACUCUGUGCCAGCCGCCGCAGUAAU
rnacentral:rRNA from 1 species